rnacentral:rRNA from 1 species
AUUGAACGCUGGCGGAAUGCUUUACACAUGCAAGUCGAGCGGCAGCACGGGGGCAACCCUGGUGGCGAGCGGCGGACGGGUGAGUAAUACAGCGGAACAUGUCCAGCCGUGGGGGAUAACACUUCGAAAGAAGUGCUAUUACCGCAUACGUUCUGAGGGUAAAAGCGGGGGAUCGCAAGACAUCGCGCGAUUGGAGUGGCCGAUGUCAGAUUAGCUAGUUGGUGGGGUAAAGGCCUACCAAGGCAACGCUCUGUAGCUGGUCUGAGAGGAUGAUCAGCCACACUGGGACUGAGACACGGCCCAGACUCCUACGGGAGGCAGCAGUGGGGAAUUUUGGACAAUGGGGGCAACCCUGAUCCAGCCAUUCCGCGUGAGUGAAGAAGGCCUUCGGGUUGUAAAGCUCUUUCGGCAGGAACGAAACGGUGAGCUCUAACAUAGCUCGCUAAUGACGGUACCUGAAGAAGAAGCACCGGCUAACUACGUG